CUUGAAAGUCUAAUAAUUAAAUUUUUAUCUCAUAAUAAUGGAAAACUAAUAAUAAAAUCCUUGCACGCUCCCCUUUCUUGAGCCACGUAGCAGAAAAACAUUUAAGGAAAAUCAUGAGAAGAUUUUGUCACGUAGUUCAUCAAUGAACCACUCCCAAACAGUUACAAGUUCGAAAAUUUACAUCCCUGUCAUCAAUGCUUAUGGUUUUCAAGACUAUGCUAGUCAGAGCUGCAUCCACACUAGCUUCUUCUCUCAAUCACCUGAAUCAGACCGACAUAACAGAGCAGCUAGAAACUCAUUCAUGAUUCUGAGAGAGCUACUUUCUGCCAUUCAUGGGGCUGUUGAUAUUAUAAAACCACCCUGCCAAGUAGGAGGAAGAAACAGCAUGAGAAAAGAAAUGCUCCAACAAAAGCUACCUAUUUCGGGCCAAGGCAUCAACGUUUUCUGAUCUUCUCUUCAAUCUAGUGGUUUGUUCCUAUAAAGGCAUAAAUUACAUCACACUUUGCACACGCUUCCACUCAAAAAGUGAGGCUGGAGACAUGAACCACAUGGCAUUUCUUACAAAAGCAUCCACACGAACACCCCACAAUUGUUAUCACUUCAUAGCGAUGGCAGCCACUGAUAUGGGAUUUUAUUUGUUCUUACCUGAACCACUAAAUUACGGAAACCAAAAGACCUAGAACCCAAUAAUGAGGAUACGACUCCACCAAUUGAACAAGGUGUCAAAAUGUUGCAGAAUGGAGCUGUAAAUCAAGAAGAAAGCAGCUGUGCAGAGCUUUUGACGAAUUUAUGAAUUGAGAAAAGAAUUUCUUAAUUGCAGAAUGAUGACAAAGAAUGAUUCCCAACUCAACUGGAUUAACAAUUUCUUCUAAAAAGAAAAAAUGGUUUAUCACUUGAUUAAAUUUAUAUGCCUAAUGCAGGCAUUCUUUUUUCU
rnacentral:misc_RNA from 1 species